rnacentral:rRNA from 1 species
UACAGAGGGGGCAAGCGUUGUUCGGAAUUACUGGGCGUAAAGGGCGCGUAGGCGGCCUUCUAAGUCGAACGUGAAAUCCCUGGGCUCAACCCAGGAACUGCGUCCGAUACUGGAAGGCUUGAAUCCGGGAGAGGGAUGCGGAAUUCCAGGUGUAGCGGUGAAAUGCGUGGAUAUCUGGAGGAACACCGGUGGCGAAGGCGGCAUCCUGGACCGGUAUUGACGCUGAGGCGCGAAAGCCAGGGGAGCAAACGGG